UCCCUGGUGGUCCAGUGGCUAAGAUUUCACACUCCCAAUGCAAGCAGCCCGGGUUUGAUUCCUGGUCAGGGAA
rnacentral:tRNA from 1 species